AACCUGGAGCUACUAAGUACUUUGUCACUUCUCUGGAACAUUCUAAGCAGAAUUAUCCCGAUUCAUAUAUUCUAAGAAUCUUGUGUGAAUUGUUUACGAGGAAAUUCUGACUGUCACAUUAACAAGGAUGAACACUCUUGACUCUGCUUCGGAUUCCCCAGUGAUAAUUGUAUCGAGUGAUGAAAGAGCUGACGGCGACAUUUUAAUGUAUGAUUGGCUUGGACCGUUGGAAUAAAGUCAUUUCAUGGUGCCACCACUUGGGAUGGUAUUAGCUGCAAAUAUAGACUUGUACUCAGCACUUAUUGCCUUUAAGAAGUAUGAGAUCCAUUUUGUGCUAACACCUACCGUGACACAGAAUCUUGGUUUAUGCAGUCUCAUAGGAGUAACCUGUCUAAAGCAUUUAGCAAUGGGAUUGGAACCUGCGACGUGUGACUCAUCUGAAUACUGAAUUUUGAUACCAAGCAUGACCAUGAUUUGCCAGAAGAUCAUCUGUUUGGAUGUGACAUGGAAUAAACAGCAUAGUGAAAAUAAGUCAAGUUUUGGUUUGUGAAGACAAUUCUUAAACACACUGUGUAUCAUUUUUAAAUUUUGAUUUGACAAGAUAAAUCCACAAAUAUGAACAUAUCAAUUGUUCUCAGUUUUUCAAAUGAAAUAGUUUUUGUAACAGAAAUACAUG